AGUGAACGCUGGCGGUAGGCCUAACACAUGCAAGUCGAACGGCAGCACAGGAGAGCUUGCUCUCUGGGUGGCGAGUGGCGGACGGGUGAGGAAUACAUCGGAAUCUACCUUUUCGUGGGGGAUAACGUAGGGAAACUUACGCUAAUACCGCAUACGACCUACGGGUGAAAGUGGGGGACCGCAAGGCCUCACGCGAUUAGAUGAGCCGAUGUCCGAUUAGCUAGUUAGCGGGGUAAUGGCCCACCAAGGCGACGAUCGGUAGCUGGUCUGAGAGGAUGAUCAGCCACACUGGAACUGAGACACGGGCCAGACUCCUACGGGAGGCAGCAGUGGGGAAUAUUGGACAAUGGGCGCAAGCCUGAUCCAGCCAUACCGCGUGGGUGAAGAAGGCCUUCGGGUUGUAAAGCCCUUUUGUUGGGAAAGAAAUCCUGUCGAUUAAUACUCGGUGGGGAUGACGGUACCCAAAGAAUAAGCACCGGCUAACUUCGUGCCAGCCGCCGCCGUAACAC
rnacentral:rRNA from 1 species